CAUGUCCCUGUGUCCCUGUGUCCCCGUGUCCCUCUGUCCCCGUGUCCCUCUGUCCCCAUGUCCCCCGUCCCCGUGUCCCUAUAUCACCAUGUCCCCAUGUCCCUCCGUCCCCAUGUCCCCGUGUCCCCAUGUCCCCGUGUCCCUGUGUCCCCAUGUCCCUGUGUCCCCAUGUCCCUGUGUCCCUCUGUCCCCAUGUCCCCGUGUCCCUAUGUCCCCGUGUCCCUAUAUCACCAUGUCGCUAUGUCCCUGUGUCCCCACAUUCUCGUGUCUCCAUAUUCUCGUGUCCCCGUGUCCCUCUGUCCCCCUGUCCCCAUGUCCCUGUGUCCCCAUGUCCCCCUGUCCCCAUGUCCCUAUAUCACCAUGUCCCACGUCCCUGUGUCCCUAUAUUCUUGUGUCCCCAUAUUCUCAUGUCCCCGUGUCCCCAUGUCCCUCUGUCCCCGUGUCCCUCCGUCCCCAUGUCCCUGUGUCCCCGUGUCCCCAUGUCCCUGUGUCCCCGUGUCCCCAUGUCCCCGUGUCCCUAUAUCACCAUGUCACUAUGUCCCUGUGUCCCCAUGUCCCUGUGUCCUUCUGUCCCCAUGUCCCCAUGUCCCCAUGUCCCUGGGUGGCAUUGCUCUGUCCCCAAGUCCCCCAUCUGCUCCUGGUCCACGAGGAGCUCAUGUCCCCAUGUCCUUGUGUCCCCAUGUCCCCGUGUCCCCAUGUAACCUGGUGGCACUGCUCUGUCCCCAAGUCCCCCAUCUGCUCCUGGUCAACAUGGAGCUCAUGUCCCCAUGUCCCUGUGUCCCCAUGUCACCAAGUCCCCCAGCAGCUCCUGGUCAACAAGGAGCUCGUGUCCCCAUGUCACCCUGGUGUCCCCUGGGGGGGUGGCCCUGGAUCCUGGAUCCUAGGUGCUGGGCGCUGGGCACUGGGUGCUGGGUGCUGGGUGCUGGGUGCUGGGCGCUGGGUGCUGGGUGCUGGGUGCUGGGUGCUGGGCGCUGGGUGCUGGGCGCUGGGCGCUGGGCGCUGGGCGCUGGGUGCUGGGUGCUGGGCGCUGGGCGCUGGGCGCUGGGUGCUGGGUGCUGGGUGCAUCUCGGUGACGCCCGUCCCCGCUGCCGUUGCAGGAAUCCUUCUCCGAGCACCUGGGCUUCACGGGCGGCAUCGUGCAGGGGUGAGUGCUCUGCGGGGCGCUGCCCUCAGCAGCGGCUGCCCCUUCCCUUCCCUUCCCUUCCCUUCCCUUCCCUUCCCUUCCCUUCCCUUCCCUU
rnacentral:lncRNA from 1 species